rnacentral:rRNA from 1 species
UACAGAGGGGGCAAGCGUUGUUCGGAAUUACUAGGCGUAAAGGGCGCGUAGGCGGCCUGCUAAGUCGAACGUGAAAUCCCCGGGCUCAACCCGGGAACUGCGUCCGAUACUGGCAGGCUUGAAUUCGGGAGAGGGAUGUGGAAUCCAGGUGUAGCAGUGAAAUGACGUAGAGAUCGGGAGGAACAUCAGUUGCGAAGGCGGCUCUCUGGACCAGCACUGACACUGAGGCGCGAAAGCGUGGGGAGCAAACAGGG